rnacentral:rRNA from 1 species
AGGACGAACGCUGGCGGCGUGCUUAACACAUGCAAGUCGAGCGGAAAGGCCCUUCGGGGUACUCGAGCGGCGAACGGGUGAGUAACACGUGAGUAAUCUGCCCCUAGCUCUGGGAUAGCUCCGGGAAACCGGGAUUAAUACCAGAUACGACCACUUUAGACAUCUGUUGUGGUGGAAAGAAUUUUGGCUAGGGAUGAGCUCGCGGCCUAUCAGCUUGUUGGUGAGGUAACGGCUCACCAAGGCGACGACGGGUAGCCGGCCUGAGAGGGCGACCGGCCACACUGGGACUGAGACACGGCCCAGACUCCUACGGGAGGCAGCAGUGGGGAAUAUUGCGCAAUGGGCAAAGCCUGACGCAGCGACGCCGCGUGGGGGAUGAAGGCCUUCGGGUUGUAAACCCUUCAGCAGGGACGAAGCGAAGUGACGGUACCUGCAGAAGAAGCGCCGGCUAACUACGUGCUAGCAGCCGC